rnacentral:rRNA from 1 species
AAGCCCUUCGGGGUGUAAACNCCUGUCGGCGGGGGACGAAGNUGACCGUGGGNUAAUACCUCANGGAUCUUGUACGGUACCCCCAGAGGAAGGGACNGCUAACUACGUGCCANCAGCCGCGGUAAUACGUAGGUCCCGAACGUUGCGCGA